rnacentral:rRNA from 1 species
CAGUAGCCGCGGGAAUACGUAGGGUGCAAGCGUUAAUCGGAAUUACUGGGCGUAAAGCGUGCGCAGGCGGUUGUGUAAGUCUGAUGUGAAAGCCCCGGGCUCAACCUGGGAACUGCAUUGGAGACUGCACGGCUAGAGUGCGUCAGAGGAGGGUAGAAUUCCGCGUGUAGCAGUGAAAUGCGUAGAGAUGCGGAGGAAUACCGAUGGCGAAGGCAGCCCCCUGGGAUGACACUGACGCUCAUGCACGAAAGCGUGGGGAGCAAACAGGAUUAGAUACCCGAGUAGUCCCUGUCUCUUAUAC